UACGUAGGGCGCAAGCGUUGUCCGGAAUUAUUGGGCGUAAAGAGCUCGUAGGCGGCCUGUUGCGUCCGCUGUGAAAUCCCGGGGCUCAACCGCGGGCCUGCAUUCGAUACGGGCAGGCUAGAGUUCGGUAGGGGAGACUGGAAUUCCUGGUGUAGCGGUGAAAUGCGCAGAUAUCAGGAGGAACACCGAUGGCGAAGGCAGGUCUCUGGGCCGAUACUGACGCUGAGGAGCGAAAGCGUGGGGAGCGAACAGG
rnacentral:rRNA from 1 species